rnacentral:rRNA from 1 species
AUAUGGAGUCGGACCUGCCCAGUGAAUAAUUUUAAACGGCCGCGGUACUCUGACCGUGCAAAGGUAGCAUAAUCAUUUGCCCUAUAAUUGAGGGCUAGUAUGAAUGGUUUGACAAGAAUAAAGCUGUCUCCACAUAAUUAUAUAGAAUUUUAUUUUUAGGUGAAGAAGCCUAGAUAUUAUUAAAAGACAAGAAGACCCUAUCGAGCUUAAAAGAAAUUAAUAAGUUAAUAUAUAUAUAAUAUAAAGUCAUAUUUAUUAAAAAUUUUGGUUGGGGCGACUAAGGAACAAAUAAAGCUUCUUUGAUUUAACGUAUACAUGCAGGUAUAGAUCCAAAAUAUUUUGAUUAAUGAAAUUAGUUACCGUAGGGAUAACAGCAUUAUCUUUUUUAAGAGCUCAUAUCGAAAAAAAGGUUUGUGACCUCGAUGUUGGACCAGAAUAUCCUAAAGAUGCAGAAGUCUUUAAGGGUUGGUCUGUUCGACCAUUAAAAUUCUA